ACAAAUGAUGAAGAGAUUGAUAAGGUUUCUCUGGUAUCGUUUUAACAUUGAGGUAUAACAAUCGCCGAGUCAUCGUUUCGUCCGUCAUUUUUCAUUGGCGAGUCGAUUGUUUCUCGUCUACAC